rnacentral:rRNA from 1 species
GAUGAACGCUGGCGGCGUGCCUAAUACAUGCAAGUCGAGCGAAUGGAUUAAGAGCUUGCUCUUAUGAAGUUAGCGGCGGACGGGUGAGUGACACGUGGGUAACCUGCCCAUAAGACUGGGAUAACUCCGGGAAACCGGGGCUAAUACCGGAUAACAUUUUGAACCGCAUGGUUCGAAAUUGAAAGGCGGCUUCGGCUGUCACUUAUGGAUGGACCCGCGUCGCAUUAGCUAGUUGGUGAGGUAACGGCUCACCAAGGCAACGAUGCGUAGCCGACCGGAGAGGGUGAUCGGCCACACUGGGACUGAGAAACGGCCCAGACUCCUACGGGAGGCAGCAGUAGGGAAUCUUCCGCAAUGGACGAAAGUCUGACGGAGCAACGCCGCGUGAGUGAUGAAGGCUUUCGGGUCGUAAAACUCUGUUGUUAGGGAAGAACAAGUGCUAGUUGAAUAAGCUGGCACCUUGACGGUACCUAACCAGAAAGCCACGGCUAACUACGUGCCAGCAGCCGCCGUAA